rnacentral:lncRNA from 1 species
AGGAAAAGGUGGGAAAAGCUGCAAAAAAGGGCAAGAAAAGCUGAGAGAAAAAAAGUUGGAAAGCUGAGAGGAAAACUCAGAGAAAGCUGAGGAAAAGGGCAAGAAAAGCUGAGAGGAAAAGGCAGGAAUUGCUGACAGGAAAAGGUGUGAAAAGGAGAAAAAAAAGGGGCAAGAAAAGGUGAGAAGAAAAAGGGGGAAAAGCUGAGGAAAAGGGCAAGAAAAUAUGAUAGGAAAAGGUGGGAAAAGGGCAAGAAAAGGUGAGAGAAAAAAGGAAUCGCCGAGAGGAAAAAGCGGGGAUCGGUGAGGGGAAAAAAGGAGGAAAAACCGAGGAAAAAGAGCGCCGAGAGGCAGGAGGAGCCCGCCCGCCAUCGCUGCCCGGCGGCGCCAUGGAGGAGGCUGCGCAGGGGUCCGGCCAUGGUGGCGGUGAGGAGCUUCCCACCCCGCCGGCGCAGGGGGGACCGCGGGUGGAGGCGCUGCUGGCGCGGAUCCGGGCUCUGCACCAAGGUGAGCGCCCGCGGGGACAGGCGCUGGCCCCGGGGGGUCCGUCCCCUUGUCCCCACGGCUGUCUGUCCCCCUGGCCCUUUGGUACCACGGGUGUCUGUCUGUCCGUCCCCAUGGGGGGCUGUCCCCUUGGGGGGCCGUCCUCCUGCCCCCACAGGUGCCCGUCCCCGUGGGUGUCCCUUGUCCCCUUCCCCUGUCCCAUGGCUUUCUGUCCCCCUGUCCCCACGGGUGUCCGUCCCUCUGUCCCCACGGGUGUCCGUCCCUCUGUCCCCAUAGAUGUCCGUCCCUCUGUCCCCACAGGUGGCUACCCCAUGGUCCCUAUGGGUUCCUGCCCUUCUGUCCCCAUGGGUGUCCGUCCCCCUGUCCCUCUGUCCCCCUGCCCCCACGUCUGUCCCCAGCCUGCCAGGCCCGGGCGCAGGAGCUGGCGGAGGCUCAGGGCCACAGCGAGGAGCUGCGGCGGCACCUGGAGCAGCGUGAGUCCCCGGGGGGCCAAAAUCCAAGGGGGGGACCCCGAAAUCCACGGGGGGGAUCCCAAAAUCCAAGGGGGGGACCGUAAAAAGCCAUUGGGGGAGACCAAAAUCCAUGGGGGGACCCCGAAAUCCAUGGGGGGACCCCGACAUCAGUAGGGGGGGAGUACAAAAUCAAUGGGGGGUGGCGAAAUCAACGGGGGGGGGACCCCAACAUCCAUGGGGAGAUCCCAAAGUCCAUGGGGGGACCCCAAAAUCAGAGGGGGGGACCCCAACAUCGGUGGGGGGGCCCCAAAAUCCAUGGAAGUGAACCCAAGAUCCACAAGGGGGACCCCAAGAUCCACGGGGGGGACCCCAAAAUCCAUGCGGGGGGACCCCAAAAUCCAUGGGGGGGGACCCCAAAUCAAUGAGGACACCAACAUCAACGGGGGGACCCCGAAAUCCAUGGAGGGACCCCAAAAUCUACAGGGUGCCCAAUUACAAUGGGGGAGGGGGCUGAAAUCCAUGGGGGGGGGGCCAAAAUCAAUGGAAGGAGCCCAAAAUCCAUGCUGGGGGACCCCAAAACCCAUGGCGGGGACCCCAAAACCCAUGGCGGGGACCCCCUAAUCCACGAGGGGGGGCCCCAAAAUGAAUGGGGGGGACCCCAACACCCACGGGGGGGAACCCCAAAACCCACGGGGCUUGGGGGGGGCCCCCGAAACCUGGAGGCCCCCCCCCCGGCGCUGAGCCCGUGGCGCAGUGGAGGAGCAGCUGGCGGCGCUCGAGGGGCUGUGGCAGCAGCAGCGCGGUGAGGCCGCGCUCCCAGCGCGCCCCGGGGCCGUGCCCCCC